UACGUAGGGUGCAAGCGUUAAUCGGAAUUACUGGGCGUAAAGCGUGCGCAGGCGGUGAUGUAAGACAGUUGUGAAAUCCCCGGGCUCAACCUGGGAACUGCAUCUGUGACUGCAUCGCUGGAGUGCGGCAGAGGGGGAUGGAAUUCCGCGUGUAGCAGUGAAAUGCGUAGAUAUGCGGAGGAACACCGAUGGCGAAGGCAGCCCCCUGGGUUAACACUGACGCUCAGGCACGAAAGCGUGGGGAGCAAACAGG
rnacentral:rRNA from 1 species